GCGCACUUCAGCAACACACAUACUGAACUUGGAACGACACAGAGAAGAUCAGCACAGCCCCUGUGCAAGGAUGACACACAAACUCAUGAAGCAUUCCAUAUUUUU